ACGGGUGAGUAACGCGUGGGAAUCUACCCUUUUCUACGGAAUAACGCAGGGAAACUUGUGCUAAUACCGUAUGUGUCCUUCGGGAGAAAGAUUUAUCGGGAAAGGAUGAGCCCGCGUUGGAUUAGCUAGUUGGUGGGGUAAAGGCCUACCAAGGCGACGAUCCAUAGCUGGUCUGAGAGGAUGAUCAGCCACAUUGGGACUGAGACACGGCCCAAACUCCUACGGGAGGCAGCAGUGGGGAAUAUUGGACAAUGGGCGCAAGCCUGAUCCAGCCAUGCCGCGUGAGUGAUGAAGGCCCUAGGGUUGUAAAGCUCUUUCACCGGAGAAGAUAAUGACGGUAUCCGGAGAAGAAGCCCCGGCUAACUUCGUGCCAGCAGCCGCGGUAAUACGAAGGGGGCUAGCGUUGUUCGGAAUUACUGGGCGUAAAGCGCACGUAGGCGGAUCGAUCAGUCAGGGGUGAAAUCCCAGGGCUCAACCCUGGAACUGCCUUUGAUACUGUCGAUCUGGAGUAUGGAAGAGGUGAGUGGAAUUCCGAGUGUAGAGGUGAAAUUCGUAGA
rnacentral:rRNA from 2 species